rnacentral:rRNA from 1 species
UACGAAGGGGGGCUAGCGUUGCUCGGAAUCACUGGGCGUAAAGGGUGCGUAGGCGGGUCUUUUAAGUCAGGGGUGAAAUCCUGGAGCUCAACUCCAGAACUGCCUUUGAUACUGAGGAUCUUGAGUUCGGGAGAGGUGAGUGGAACUGCGAGUGUAGAGGUGAAAUUCGUAGAUAUUCGCAAGAACACCAGUGGCGAAGGCGGCUCACUGGCCCGAUACUGACGCUGAGGCACGAAAGCGUGGGGAGCAAACAG